AAGCCCCGGAACCCUUUUGGGUUCUACUUCAAACUUGCAUUUUGAUGUGUAAUACACCUCGAGACU
rnacentral:tRNA from 1 species